GAGGAUCUGGCAUCGCAUCCUGUAGCUGGUCAUGCCUACCUGAGAGGGCUGGAGGAAACCAAAGUGGUUUAAAACAUUUAAGUGUGCUUCUUCAGAAAAAGUUUUGUCUCCCCACGCCACUUUUUAUUUAAACUAAAAAUAAUUUCUUGUUAGUGACUGCUUUGCAUUUAGACAGAGUGAUUGAUAACAAUUUAUAGGAGAUUUUGUUGGGGUGAAAAGCACACUGACAUGCCACCGCUGUUUAUUGGAGUGCGAUUUCACGUGCAAAUGCAAAAACAUUAAAAAUGUUAUUGCUCCUUAUGUGCAUAUGCGGCAGCGCUCCUCGAGGGGGCACCAGCUGCGGGAAGUCUGUUCCUUGCAGACCCCUGACCACGCGAUGAAUGAAUAAAGUACACUGACACACAGAUAUUCUGCUCUGCCAGUCCAGCUGAGGGUCCAAGCCACUUACAGGCUCCCUGCUGAGCCCUGUAAACAGUUGCGACUCGGCAGGGAGCCUGUAAGCACCUGGGACCCUCAGAAUAUCUGUGUGUCAGCGUACUUUAUUCACCGGUCAUUGGGUCAGGGGUCUGCAAGGGACAGACUCCCCACAGCUGGUGACCCCUCGAGAGGAGCCCUGCCCCCAGCUGGUGCCCCAUGUGAGGCGCUGUGUGAGGAACUGUGCGAGGAAUGCUGUGAAGGAAACGCGACGAACCGCCCGAAAACGAAGACAGACAGAACAGCAUGUGGAGACUCACGCAGUGAAAUUUUCCUCCAAGAAGUACUGCAUGAACAUACCAGGAAAACCAAAAGAAUUCACAGAACCUUUGAAAGAAGUGGCUUGCCGCUGCAAACUCCAUGAGACAGCUGAAAAACUGGCAAAGCAGCUGAGAUCUUUGAGCUCCCUUUGAACUUUGAGAAUGGUGACUGGAAGAUGACAAUUCAUGUUGUUUUCAGGAAAGCUAUGACCGAGAAACCAAGAAACUCACUAUCUUGUCCUCUUGGAUGCCAGCUAUAAAUUGAAUCAAGUUGGACACCGGAAUUUUGACCACUUUCCACCUUUCUAUCGUGGUCAGGUAAGUUGCAUAAGCCUGUGAUAUGCAUGAUUUUGGACUUUGUUCCUUUUCACACUGGCCUACAGUUGAGGUACCAGAUUCUCAUAUAUCAAUAAUUAAAGUAGUAAUCACUUAUAUGAGACGUUGAAAUGUACUCCCUUCAAGAAAGGUGACAUUUUCAGCUGUUUUCUUAAUGGGAAAACAUUAUUGGUGGGAGCAAACUACAGAUCCUUCAAUGAGAUUAGUGUGAAAGCAGAAGAAAUGUGAAGGCAGUGGCUAUUUGAGUGACAUGAAAAUAUUCUAAGGGGCACAAAAGCAGAAAGGGAAAGCUGGUAACUUCACAGUAAAUCUCAUUGCCUCCAUAGUUUUUCCCAACAUCAGGAAGUGCCUUUCUACAAACCUGUGGCAUGAACUUAACAGAGAGAAUUGAAAUUUCUACUUGUUGGAUAACUACACAGUUACACAACAAACAAGAGGCUAUACAUUUCCAUGUGGAGACUAAUGUUACAACUUAAUCCUUUUGGCAAUCAGAGAUGGGCAAUUAUCCUAACCAACUUAUGUUUCCAACUUAGAAAGCUUUCUAUUUUCAGGGCUUUCUUCAUACUUAAAUCUGGUAACCAAGCCUAUGAAAAGAAGUUUUAAAUAACAGCAGGUAUAAAUGUCUGUAGGAAAAGGCUUGAGCAGUGUAGGUACCAUCUCAGAAUUAUAAGAGGGUGGACAGAACUUCUUUUGUUAAAUACUAUUAUCUUAACCCAAGAGAACUGUCAAUAGAGAGCUGAGUUUCUGGAUUAUGGGUGCUUCCCUCCUAUGUCUUAAGAUUAGCCAGCAGCAUGCAAGGAAUUGGAAGCAUGUCCUUACAUGACACAGCAAGAAGGGUGACAAGAUCCUAUUUGUGUUUGAAAAAGUUUACUCUUGCUGCUGCAUACAAAAUGGAAUGUUAAGAUGCAAGAAUGGAAUCAAGGAGGCUCUUAGAAUAAUGGGUAAGAGUUAAUGGUGGCUUUGACCUGAGUGGAGGCUGUGGAGGUAGACAGAAGUGAGAACAUUUGCUGACGCUGUAGGUAGGGGAAUGGUGAGGUGUUAUGGACUGACUUGUGUCACUCUCAAAUUUAUAUAUUGAAGUUCUAAUCCCUAGUACUUCAGAAUGUUACUAUAUUUGAAGACAGCAUUCUUAAAAAGGCUAUUAAGUUAAAAUGAGGUCAUAGGGUUGUCCCUAAUCCAAUAUAAUAGGUUUCUUCAUGAGAAGAGGAGAUUCGGUCACAGGCAUGUACAGAAGAAGACUGUGUGAAGACACAGAAGAAGUUAUCUACAAACCAACAAGAGAGGCUUCAGAAGAAACCAACAUUGUUGACACCCUGAUCUUGGAUUUCUAGACUCAGGAAUUGUGAGAAAAUAAAUUUUUAUUGUUUAAGCCACCCAGUCUGUGGUACGUUCUUAUGGCAUCCCUGGCUAAUGAAUACAGGAGGCAGCUAAAGGAAUUGAGGAUUAUGCCUAGUUUUGUGGCUUGAGAAAUGGGGUAUUUAGAGGUCUCAUUACCAGGACGAGUAAGAUUGAGGAAAGAACAUGUUUGGAAUCUAUAUGGGAAUGUUGGUGGUGGGAAAAACUGAGAGGUAAAUGUAGUAGUUUAUGUGUGGGAUGCCUAUGCACAUGCAAGAAAAGAUAUCAAGGAGGCAGUGGUAUGUGCAAAUCUGGAAAUUUUAUAAAUUCUUAUGCAGAUGAUUUAAAUAAAUAAAUUUGAACCCUGUCAUCUAUUCUCAAUCCCUUCUGGAUUUCAACCAAAAGGGCUGGUUGUAUGGGGCUAGCAUCAUAUAUCAAUGUCAGUAAGUUAGAUUGUCCAUUACUUUGUAUUGAAUGGAACUAUGUGCUGCAUGAUUUCUGUGUCUCUAAAAGUCAACAGACCUUGGGCAGACACAAAAGUUUAAAUGUCACCCUGAAAAACCACUCUAAAUUAGGAGGCAGUUGCGACAUUCUAAACAAAUUUACUAGAUUACAUAUCAUGAGAUAUGGCUUUGGGUUCAAACUCUACCCUUUUUAGAUUAGUGUUCUUGGAUCAUAAUCUCUGAGACUUAGAUUUUUCAUUCAUUUUAUAGUGAAUCUCAUUAGGGGUACUUCACUUGAUUUAGGGUAUUUUUGGAAUUUUCAGGGUGAGUUUUUGUUGUUGCAUGAUUGAGGAGUUCUAGUUAGUAGAAGCUCUGUGAAGUCCUGCAAAAUGAUUUGACACAAAGCCUUCUUGGAUGUGUACUUACAGUUGCACAACUUGAAAAUAUUCUAUACAUUACAAGUGGGGCUAUAGUGACACACACACACACACAUUUAACACAUUUGUGUAUUAAUUUUACUUCAGGACUGUAAAGUGUUACAAAAUUCUAGCUAUUAAAAGAGGGCAUUGCACCAAGUUAUGUUGUGUUGAGAACCACUGACCUAUAAUAUCUUUUUAUUGCCUUUAUUAUUUUGAAUGGACACAUAAUAAUUAUACAAUUUAUGGGGCACAGUGUGAUAUUUUGAUGCAUAUAUAUCAUGAAUAGUGAUCAAAUCAGGGUAACUAGCAUAUCCAUCACUUCAACCAUUUAUCAUUUCUUUGUACAUGGAUAAAGAAAAUGUGGUGUAUCCAUUUGUCCGUUGACAAACACUUAGGUUUGGCCAUUGUGAAUAGUACUGCAAUAACCAUGGGAGUGCUUUCAUAUUGCUUUCCUUUCAAUAUGAUAUAUAUCUAUAUAUCUAUAUAUCUAUAUCUAUAUCUAUAUCUAUAUCUAUAUACACUCACAUACACACAUAUGGGGGAUAUAGAAAUGGAAGAAAGAAAGAAGAUCACAUUUUUACCUAACGCUUUCUUCUUUUCUAUUGUUACUUUCUUUAUAUUUUUAUCUUUGAAGCUCAGAUUUAUCAUAAAUGUUGUAUACUAUUUUAAAUAUUUUCUUUUUCCUAAUU